CCAAGCUCUUCCGAUGGAGCGAUCCCUUCCUCGGCCGGUUCUUACGCGUGAGCGACGAUGGCUAGGUGGCUAGGGCACGGUGGAGGGCUUGGUUUUGGUUGUUUCCGACCGAUUGACCCUUCGUUUCCUCCUUCUUGAGCUGUUCACAUAACGAUCCGUGGCUCCUCAAAGUGGAUCGGAUUGGGCGAUACCUUCUGGAGACAACCGAUUGAGGGAGGUGUUCUUGAGCUGCCGGGAAGAGGCUAGAAGGAUGGUUAAUUGAUCAGUGAUCUCCCUGCUUGACCUCCUGUUGUGAUCCGAUUGAUUCCAAUGAGGUUGAGUGCUGUGGAUCAACAAGCACGACUGUGAGUGUUUGGUCUUGCAUUGUGAUGGCGUCUGCGUGUUGGCUUGGUCUCUGUUGGCUUGCUACAUAUCUAGAAAGCUCCAUGAUUUGUGCUAAGCUCAAAAUAUCAGUAGAUUUGUUGUGGUAGUGCCUUAACAGGAUUUGAGACUUCUCCAUUCAGGAAAAGACAAGUCCGGUAGAUACAAAAAUUACAAGAUUGCAAGUUUGGAUUGAAGGUCACAAGAAAAAAAAUGGGGAGCCUAGUACUCAAGCUGUUGGAGAGAAAAUAGUGGACCUAAUUCGACCAAAUGAUGAAAUAC